CAGCAAGCCAGGAAGGAGGCAGGAAGAGUUCUCUGCAGCAGACUCUCUGCCCAGACCAUCCAGCACAGCUUUUGCAAGGUGUUGUAUCCAGUCUUUGAUGAUGACACAUAGUGAAUUACCAUGGAAUCUGGGACAGGAUGACAAAGCAAGCUUUACUCAGCAGAGGCAUCCCUCGGCAGAGGUUUUGAAAACAGGCUUUACUCCCUCGGCAGAGGCAUCCGCAGAUCCCUGUAUGCUCAAAAUUGAGCUCGACAUUGAGCAUGACUGCGACCCGGAUGUCGACAGAUAAACUGAGACGCCAGCAACGAGGUGUUGAUAGAAACUGAGAAAAUGGUGCCCCUAACUGCCGAUUUCAAUGGAAGCACAGAGCACAUGCAGGACAGAGUGGGUGUCACAAGGAGCUAGCCAAUCUACCAGCGAGGUCCCUCCCUGGGUUGCAGAGUAACACUGCUGUGCAGCUGAAGUCCUGGCUCCCUGUAAGGACAAACUCUUGCUCCACUCUCUGUGGAGAAUGUGGACCAGUGUUUUAGACAUUUUGUUCACAAAUCUUUCUAAAACCAUUUCACUCUGUUUCAAAAGUGGCUUGACAAAUGGUGGAGAGGAAGCGGACUGCUCUUCACAAAUUCCUCUUGGGCGUGCAGAAAAGGUUACUUGGUUCUUUAGAUUAUGGCAGUCUUUGGAGGUAACUUGCACAGCUAUUCAGGAAGAACAGAGGGACUUCUGAAAGUCAAAGCUAUAAUUUUAUAAAACUAAAUACCAUUCUUUGUAGACAGAUACCAUCUACGUAGGCAAUUUCUUGUGUUGAAAGCACCCCUCUCCGACCCACAAGUAUUUUGUAGGAGUAUCUCUUCCAUCCAAGUAAGUAUCUGUCGAAACAGUGAACUAGGCUCAACCAGGUCUCUGGUUCUCUGUUGAUGAACCAGUCAAGUAGCUUAUUCUGGUUUUUCUGGAUUCUAAAGUAAUAUUUUACCUGCACAGGAUAGAAUAUAGCCUGAAGCAUGGGCAGGACAUCACUGAAAAAGAAAUCCCAAGUUUCUGCCAAGGUAUCCAAAAGUUUCUGUCCUAUAAAUAAAAACAAAGUGGUUUAGUCAAAGGGCACUGACCAAGGAAUGUUUUGAAUCUUUAUUUAUUUUGUUUAUAUAUCCCAUUUUAGCCCAUGAAUUCAGAGCAGCUUACAGUGUUUUUUCUUAAAUGUUCAUAGUCCUGUCCCUAUGAGAUUCACAAUCUAAAAUAUUAAAAGAGAUGCCCUGCUUGAAGGCCAGCCUAAGACAUCUUCCUGUCUGAAAUUCAACCCCAUUUGUAGAUGGGUACUCAACAUUCUCAGGUCAUGCUGGUGAGUUAGUGGCAGAGCAGUGGCAGAUACUCUCAGAGCAUGGCAGCAGCAGCAUGUCUAAGUGGAGAUUUGAACCCAUAUCUCCCUGGUCUAGGUGCAACACUAAUAGUUACACCACAUUGCCCUUUUAAUAUGGGGACUUAAUUAAAACAGCUAUUCCCUGAGACAGCUUCAUCCCUGACAAGAUGAACUAGAAAAGUAAUGGCUUUCUUAUUGGUUCAAUUAUUUCUUUGUUGCCUUUAUAUACCAUCUUUUUGCUAAGUCACUGUUGCAAUAACCACAUUUCCUUCCUGUAAAUUAAAGGUGUCUCUGUUCCCAGUGUGCAUAAUGCUGAAGGAGACAUGAUCAGAACAGGACUUAGAACCCUUAAUUCUUUGUUCUCAUCUGCACAGAAAGCUACUCAUCUGUUCGAUGUCAAUGAUGGGCGGAGAAGGGGGCAUGUAGGGAGUACAAAAGAAGUCUGAAAGCAAUAAAAUCCCAGAGCCUUUCUGAGCUCAAUCAUCCUCUCCUCCUCAUUUGCUUGGAAAGAAAUUUGGGGGAGUUGAGAAUUCAUUCAGGAUAUGCUCUGGUGCGUGUAUUAGGCAUGAGAAGGGGACAGCAAACUUCUCAGCAGAGCAUGGAGCACCCUCCCAAUUAUAUCUGUAAGUCCAUUGAAGAAAGGUUCCUGUCUGGCUUCUGCUCUGCUAGUGGAGGCAGUAGCAGCAGCAGCAGCAGCAGCAGCAACAGCAGCAGUUUACUUUGCAUGAAGAGCAGCCUCAAUCUGCUGUCUGGCUAGAUGGCAUGCUGCUCAUU